CAAAGGGGAAGACUGGAGAUGAGAAAAACAGAGAAGAAAAGGAGGAGGGUGACAGAGAAAAAGGACAGAGAGAAAGCAGGAUAGAAGAGCUAAGUCAACUAACUCCUAGCUCUGCCAACUGGAGAGGGACUCCGCAGUCUACCUAAGGUCCAAGACUCCUCUUGCUGUGUGUGUGUGUGUGUGUGUGUGGUGGAAGCGUAACGUUAAACCUCCUUGUUUAAUAUCGCUGCGAGACAGAGGAGCACACCUCGAGAACACCAGCUCUCUCACACACACACACACACACACACACACCUCCACAGUAAAAUGAGAUGCUCCUCCUCCCUCCUCUCCCUCUCUAGAAUGCUCCCUGCACUCAACUGCAAUCAAUGCAUCACUCAGACAUGUUACAAGCAUCUACACAAGAAUCAUCACGCCACACAUCACAACAGUGCUGUAUGUACGCGUGCCCGGGCCAGAGAGUGAUCCAUGGGUGGACGGGAGCGGCAGGGACAUCUCAGCACUGAUAAACACAGAGAGGAGGAAAGCUAAGCAUCACACGCAAACAGAAAUAGCAAUACACUUCAGGCUAUAAGUCAGUGGUAAAGGACUGAGCAGCAUGUAGGUAGACGCCAUGUGUAACAUGAGGCUGAGCAGCAUGUAGGUAGAAGCCAUGUGUAACAUGAGGCUGAGCAGCAUGUAGGUAGAAGCCAUGUGUAACAUGAGGCUGAGCAGCAUGUAGGUAGAAGCCAUGUGUAACAUGAGGCUGAGCAGCAUGUAGGUAGAAGCCAUGUGUAACAUGAGGCUGAGCAGCAUGUAGGUAGAAGCCAUGUGUAACAUGAGGCUGAGCAGCAUGUAGGUAGAAGCCAUGUGUAACAUGAGGCUGAGCAGCAUGUAGGUAGAAGCCAUGUGUAACAUGAGGCUGAGCAGCAUGUAGGUAGAAGCCAUGUGUAACAUGAGGCUGAGCAGCAUGUAGGUAGAAGCCAUGUGUAACAUGAGGCUGAGCAGCAUGUAGGUAGAAGCCAUGUGUAACAUGAGGCUGAGCAGCAUGUAGGUAGAAGCCAUGUGUAACAUGAGGCUGAGCAGCAUGUAGGUAGAAGCCAUGUGUAACAUGAGGCUGAGCAGCAUGUAGGUAGAAGCCAUGUGUAACAUGAGGCUGAGCAGCAUGUAGGUAGAAGCCAUGUGUAACAUGAGGCUGAGCAGCAUGUAGGUAGAAGCCAUGUGUAACAUGAGGCUGAGCAGCAUGUAGGUAGAAGCCAUGUGUAACAUGAGGCUGAGCAGCAUGUAGGUAGAAGCCAUGUGUAACAUGAGGCUGAGCAGCAUGUAGGUAGAAGCCAUGUGUAACAUGAGGCUGAGCCCAUGUGCCAGAGAGAGAGAGAUGAAGACAUCCACCCAGUCUCUGCUCAUUACCAUUUAAACGCUGAAAGCGAGGGAGAGAAAUAAAAAGCGAGGGUGGAAGAGAGAGAAAUAAAAAGCGAGGGUGGAAGAGAGAGAAAUAAAAAGCGAGGGUGGAAGAGAGAGAAAUAAAAAGCGAGGGUGGAAGAGAGAGAAAUAAAAAGCGAGGGUGGAAGAGAGAGAAAUAAAAAGCGAGGGUGGAAGAGAGAGAAAUAAAAAGCGAGGGUGGAAGAGAGAGAAAUAAAAAGCGAGGGUGGAAGAGAGAGAAAUAAAAAGCGAGGGUGGAAGAGAGAGAAAUAAAAAGCGAGGGUGGAAGAGAGAGAAAUAAAAAGCGAGGGUGGAAGAGAGAAAUAAAAAGCGAGGGUGG